AUGGAGCACAAAUGUUCGCACCACGUCACAGGGGCUGGUCCGGAAGGAGCCGAGGAGCUCACCAACGAUUUGCAGCCGACGAGGUCGAGGAGGACGCGAGCUGAUGCUGUAGAGGCGGUGACGAACCAGUCGCUGCCGGAGCCUGAGAUGGGAGGUCGUGACGAACACACUGCGGCGCGGAUCUUAGCACUCCAGGAGCUCCGAUCUGGUUGGCUUCAAACUGGACCAUCGGCGAUUCGGAGGCACGGCGGGCACGAGCCAUCGGAGAGAUGGAACAUCACCUCCGUCGUUGGCUUGAUCUUGCAGUGUAAGGAAUUUUCUGUUAGCCUCCUUGCAAUGGUACCCUCAAAACGGAAAAGCUCCCCUCUGGCGUGGGUCCCAGUUGUCAUCGUCAUCUCACCUUCUCUCUUCUCCUGCGCCGCGGGCCUUGACGCCGCCGCCCCUGUCGCCCUUGACGCUCCGCCGCAUCUGCGAGUUCCCCCGCCACCGCCGCCGAUUAUGCAAGCUGAGCAGCCUCAGGUCGACGCCGUUCGCCUGCCCGACCUCACCUCUCUCAAUCGGCUCCAGAGAGGGGAGGACUUCGGAGUUCGGACGGGAGGUUGCGGUCAAUCAUCAUCCUCGUCAUGGCCACCUGAAGCGUUAAUGAAAAGUUAUCGAUCUACAAUCCUGCAUCUGGUACCCGAGGAAAAAAGGUUAUCGAUCUACAAAUCGGAUGUGAUUGUAGGAAGGUCUUGCGCGCGGUCUUUCGAGGAAUCAGCUCCACAGACCACAAUCUGGCCGAGCAUGGCCUACACGGCAAACCCAGCAAUCACUUUCUUUGGACAUACUAUUGUCUGGUUCCACAACCUGGCCAAGCAUGGUCUACAAGGCAAGGCAAGCCUCCCAAUUACUUUCUUUAGAACAAUCAACGGCGUCAGCGGACUAUAUAUCCACCUUGAUGGCAGGUUGGACAGUCUUCCUUUUGCAGACUUGCCUCAUCUUGUCUAUCUAAACCUCCCUCGGACCAUUCUCUCUGGCACAAUCCCAUCAAGCAUCGGUGCUCUUGCCAAGCUAACUCACUUGGAUCUAUCCAACAAUUACCUAUACGGAUCUAUCCCAACAUACCUAGAUUUGCCUCAUCUUGUGUAUCUGAACCUCAGUUACAACGACCUGGAUGGAUCUAUCCCAACAUCCCUAGACUUGCCUCAUCUUGUCAGUCUGAACCUCAGACACAACUCUCUCUCGGGCCCAAUCCCACCAAGCAUUGGCACUCUUAACGAGCUCGCAUACUUGGAUCUAUCCUACAAUAGGCUGAACAGAUUUAUCGCAACAUCGUUAGACUUGCCCCAUCUUGUCAGUCUGGACCUCAGUCAUAACGCUCUUUGGGGCUCAAUCCCAUCAAGCACUGGCGCUCUUAACGAGCUCGCAUACUUGGAUCUAUCCUGCAAUAGGCUGAACGGAUCUAUCGCAACAUCCCUAGACUUGCCGCAAGUUGUCUAUCUGAACGUCAGUCUUAACUCUCUCUCGGGCCUAAUCCCAUCAAGCAUUGGCGCUCUCGCCGUGCUUGAAUGCUUGGAUCUUUCCAGCAAUAGUCUCCAUGGAUCCAUCCCAGAAUCUAUUGGUAAUUGUACAAAACUAACAGUUCCAUUUGUCACUGCAGGCUUGAUCUCACUUGACCAUAAUAUGGAUUUAUGUGGCGAUUCAUAUGGAUUACCUCCAUGUGAAACGCACCAAAGCAGAAAUCAUCCGCGUAUGGUACUUCUUGCCAUUUUUGCACCAUUUUCCAUCGCUUGCAUCUCAAUAGCAAGCAUGACGGUUGUUUGUCGGAGAAAAAAACAUGUAAAAAAUACAAGCAAAAGCAAGUCUAGAGAUAUACUUUCUAUAUGGAAUUUCGACGGGAAGAUCGCAUUUGAAGACAUACUCAGUGCAACAGAAAAUUUCGAUGAGAAAUAUUGCAUUGGCGUUGGAGGCUAUGGAACUGUCUUCCGAGUCGAGCUUGAAGGCGGGGUUACCUUUGCCGUCAAGCUCCUGCAUUCAGUGGAAGAAUUCAGCGAGGAGGAAACAUUUCACGCUGAGAUUGAAGUGUUGACAAAAAUCAGGCACCGGUGCAUCGUCAAGCUAUAUGGCUUCUGUGCACACUCCCAAUGCAAAUUCCUCGUGUACGACCUUAUCGAGAGGGGAAACUUAUCAUCCAUUUUGCAUGAGCAAGAGCUAGCAAAGGAGCUAGACUGGCCCAAUAGAAUUGCUAUUGUGACGGACGUAGCUCAAGCUCUCUCCUACUUGCAUCAUGAUUGCAAUGAUCCUAUUGUACACCGGGACAUAAAAAGCAGCAACAUACUUUUGAACCAAGAUUGUAAAGCUUAUGUCUUGGACUUUGGCAUGGCAAAGAAGCUGAAGCAUGGUUGCUCAAGCUGA
rnacentral:rRNA from 1 species